rnacentral:rRNA from 1 species
AACGUAGGAGGCGAGCGUUAUCCGGAUUUACUGGGCGUAAAGCGCACGCAGGUGGUUCUGCAAGUUGGACGUGAAAGCUCCUGGCUUAACUGGGAGAGGCCGUUCAAAACUGCGGGACUUGAGGUUGGGAGAGGGGUGUGGAAUUCCCGGUGUAGUGGUGGAAUGCGUAGAUAUCGGGAGGAACACCAGUGGCGAAAGCGGCACCCUGGCCCACACCUGACGCUGAUGUGCGAAAGCGUGGGGAG